AAUGACUCUCGGCAACGGAUAUCUCGGCUCACGCAUCGAUGAAGAACGUAGCAAAAUGCGAUACUUGGUGUGAAUUGCAGAAUCCCGUGAACCAUCGAGUUUUUGAACGCAAGUUGCGCCCGAAGCCAUCAGGUUGAGGGCACGCCUGCCUGGGCGUCACACA
rnacentral:rRNA from 2 species